GGAAGACUCUGAUUGAGAAUAACAAGAUCGUAGUUCAGAGAAAGAGAACACGCGGCGUUGGGGUUCUCCGACGAAAGAAGAAAACUCGAACAAUGACACAUCAAAUCCAUAUUUUUUCACAAGAUGCUUCUUUUGGGAGGCGAGAUGUCUGUUUUGCUCCCAAACUUUUCCUGACGCUAUACACCCCACUUCAGUAUUCCGUUUUUUGUUUCAAUAAUGAUGGUGAUAAUAUUAUAUUGAUGCACUUGCUUCUUCUCCUUUAUUCAAUCAUUCGCUGCUUUCUAUUCCCAUUGAAUGUGCUUGGAUCUGAUAAAAUAAAAUCCCAACUGUAACCAAACUCUAAUAAACCUCAUCUGUCAUAUAUGUGCGAUGAAAUUACAAUUACAACCCCAACAAUUGGAUUCGAUUCAAUUCAAUUUUGGUGUGCAGUGGAACAAACGUGGUUGAUUACCAUACGCGAAACCACCCUUUGAAGAAGAAUCACUA
rnacentral:lncRNA from 1 species